rnacentral:lncRNA from 1 species
UUGGAAGUUUUCAAUAUCUGCAACCAAUGAGUAUUUUGUCUGUGUUUUACCAAAAACUAGGAGCUUUUUGUCUGUGUUGUACCAAAAAUGAGGAGCUUACUCCUAAGAUUUAUAUAUAGAGAAAGUGAAGAUUUGAAGGUCAAAAUUCGGACUUAUCUUAGUCAAUGGUCAUAGGUAUAUACAUAUUUAUGAGAUUGAUAAUAUCUGAAUCUCCCUGUUGUAUGACCUUCAUUAGUUCAGUGUAGAAAAGAUGUCUUCCAUUUCUUUUUCUUUUACUGUUUUGGUAGCCUAAAAUUACCCACAAUAUAACAUAUAAUUUUAAGUCCAAUGUGGAGUAAGGAUAAUGUACAUGGAUGUGAUGCCUAUUUAUAAUUGAGUAUAGAUGUGACAUGUUGACUACAAAAGCAAUGCAAGCCCCAAAAGGAAAAUUUGGAAAUCUUCGAUAUCAAGCCAUUUACACUAACUAGAUAUGCAUCCACGCAUAACCCAAUAUUCAUUCUCUUUCAAAUAAUAUUUGGCAUGAAACGAAUGGAUUAAUGACUUUGAAUUCAGAUAUUCCUGGUAAUGAAGAAACUGCAAGUAUUAAAUGGGUCAUGUAUUAUUUUGGUAAGAACAAAUGAGUUAUUUAAAUAUCAAAGGAAUGAUAAAGAAUUGCAAUUCCUGGAAUAUCAGUUAAGCGUUAAGCAUUCACAUAGUAAUCUCCAAUACACGUCUCUUAAAUCUAAAGAUCCACAGCUAACUGCCAAAUAAAUUCCACUCCAGAUCCCUAAAUAGCAAAUGCAUUGGGGAGGGUAUUGGGAUACAUCAUGGAGAAAGAAAUAAUCUGACAAAAAAACAAUGAUAUCUUAUAAACCAUCGUUUAAUUUGUGCUGUUUAUUGCUGUGAUUCUUUCCUCUACGCUUUCAGAAUUCAAAAGAACAAAAAGGAUUUUCUAAGCUAGGACCAUGCAUUUGAAUUAUCAAAUUAACAAUUAACAAAGUAUAGAUGACAUGAAUGAAUACCUGAUGGAUAUCAGCCAGCUACAUUCAAUGUUUACCCUGGAUUUGAGGCUGAAAACCUGCCCUGCGUUAGGUAAACAAAAGUUCGAAAAUAAAAGAAGGGAGAAAAUGAUAGAUAAAUGAGAGGGGGGCCAGAGAGAGCUCUCUCAAGCUAAGAUCAAUAGUAAACAAGGUUAAGUUUUAAAGGAAACAUGGUAAAAUACAUGCCUGCUUGUGUCCCUGUACAUCCCCAGAAUAAACAAAGAUGUUCACAACCAAGUAUUCCUCGGUCAUCGACUCAUCAGUAAUAAUUCCUUUACUUUGGCAUUGCAAAGGUAGAAUUAAGUCCCGC